rnacentral:rRNA from 1 species
UCCGUGUGUCGUCGUCGACGUCGUCAGAGAGGUUGAUUCUGGCUCAGGACGAACGCUGGCGGCGUGCCUAACACAUGCAAGUCGAGCGGAGUUGACAAGAGGAAGUUUCGGAUGGAAUUUGUAAUUAGCGGCGGACGGGUGAGUAACGCGUGAGCGACCAACCUUGCACAGGGGGAUAACGGACCGAAAGGUUCACUAAUACCGCAUGAGACCACGGUGUUGCAUGACACAGGGGUCAAAGGAGCAAUCCGGUGCAAGACGGGCUCGCGUCCGAUUAGGUAGUUGGAGGGUAACGGCCCACCAAGCCUAUGAUCGGUAGCCGACCUGAGAGGGUGAUCGGCCACAUUGGAACUGAGAUACGGUCCAAACUCCUACGGGAGGCAGCAGUGGGGAAUAUUGGGCAAUGGGGGGAAAAACCCCCUGACCCAGCAACGCCGCGUGAAGGAAGAAGGUUUUCGGAUUGUAAACUUCUGUCCUUGGUGAAGAGAAGAAGACGGUAGCCAAGGAGGAAGCCCCGGCUAACUACGUGCCAGCAGCGGC